GGGUUGUGAGGUUAAGCGACUAAGCGUACACGGUGGAUGCCCUGGCAGUCAGAGGCGAUGAAGGACGUGCUAAUCUGCGAUAAGCGUCGGUAAGGUGAUAUGAACCGUUAUAACCGGCGAUUUCCGAAUGGGGAAACCCAGUGUGAUUCGUCACACUAUCAUUAACUGAAUCCAUAGGUUAAUGAGGCGAACCGGGGGAACUGAAACAUCUAAGUACCCCGAGGAAAAGAAAUCAACCGAGAUUCCCCCAGUAGCGGCGAGCGAACGGGGAGCAGCCCAGAGCCUGAAUCAGUGUGUGUGUUAGUGGAAGCGUCUGGAAAGGCGCGCGAUACAGGGUGACAGCCCCGUACACAAAAAUGCACAUGCUGUGAGCUCGAUGAGUAGGGCGGGACACGUGGUAUCCUGUCUGAAUAUGGGGGGACCAUCCUCCAAGGCUAAAUACUCCUGACUGACCGAUAGUGAACCAGUACCGUGAGGGAAAGGCGAAAAGAACCCCGGCGAGGGGAGUGAAAAAGAACCUGAAACCGUGUACGUACAAGCAGUGGGAGCACGCUUCGGCGUGUGACUGCGUACCUUUUGUAUAAUGGGUCAGCGACUUAUAUUCUGUAGCAAGGUUAACCGAAUAGGGGAGCCGAAGGGAAACCGAGUCUUAACUGGGCGUUAAGUUGCAGGGUAUAGACCCGAAACCCGGUGAUCUAGCCAUGGGCAGGUUGAAGGUUGGGUAACACUAACUGGAGGACCGAACCGACUAAUGUUGAAAAAUUAGCGGAUGACUUGUGGCUGGGGGUGAAAGGCCAAUCAAACCGGGAGAUAGCUGGUUCUCCCCGAAAGCUAUUUAGGUAGCGCCUCGUGAAUUCAUCUCCGGGGGUAGAGCACUGUUUCGGCAAGGGGGUCAUCCCGACUUACCAACCCGAUGCAAACUGCGAAUACCGGAGAAUGUUAUCACGGGAGACACACGGCGGGUGCUAACGUCCGUCGUGAAGAGGGAAACAACCCAGACCGCCAGCUAAGGUCCCAAAGUCAUGGUUAAGUGGGAAACGAUGUGGGAAGGCCCAGACAGCCAGGAUGUUGGCUUAGAAGCAGCCAUCAUUUAAAGAAAGCGUAAUAGCUCACUGGUCGAGUCGGCCUGCGCGGAAGAUGUAACGGGGCUAAACCAUGCACCGAAGCUGCGGCAGCGACACUAUGUGUUGUUGGGUAGGGGAGCGUUCUGUAAGCCUGUGAAGGUGGCCUGUGAGGGUUGCUGGAGGUAUCAGAAGUGCGAAUGCUGACAUAAGUAACGAUAAAGCGGGUGAAAAGCCCGCUCGCCGGAAGACCAAGGGUUCCUGUCCAACGUUAAUCGGGGCAGGGUGAGUCGACCCCUAAGGCGAGGCCGAAAGGCGUAGUCGAUGGGAAACAGGUUAAUAUUCCUGUACUUGGUGUUACUGCGAAGGGGGGACGGAGAAGGCUAUGUUGGCCGGGCGACGGUUGUCCCGGUUUAAGCGUGUAGGCUGGUUUUCCAGGCAAAUCCGGAAAAUCAAGGCUGAGGCGUGAUGACGAGGCACUACGGUGCUGAAGCAACAAAUGCCCUGCUUCCAGGAAAAGCCUCUAAGCAUCAGGUAACAUCAAAUCGUACCCCAAACCGACACAGGUGGUCAGGUAGAGAAUACCAAGGCGCUUGAGAGAACUCGGGUGAAGGAACUAGGCAAAAUGGUGCCGUAACUUCGGGAGAAGGCACGCUGAUAUGUAGGUGAAGCGACUUGCUCGUGGAGCUGAAAUCAGUCGAAGAUACCAGCUGGCUGCAACUGUUUAUUAAAAACACAGCACUGUGCAAACACGAAAGUGGACGUAUACGGUGUGACGCCUGCCCGGUGCCGGAAGGUUAAUUGAUGGGGUUAGCGGUAACGCGAAGCUCUUGAUCGAAGCCCCGGUAAACGGCGGCCGUAACUAUAACGGUCCUAAGGUAGCGAAAUUCCUUGUCGGGUAAGUUCCGACCUGCACGAAUGGCGUAAUGAUGGCCAGGCUGUCUCCACCCGAGACUCAGUGAAAUUGAACUCGCUGUGAAGAUGCAGUGUACCCGCGGCAAGACGGAAAGACCCCGUGAACCUUUACUAUAGCUUGACACUGAACAUUGAGCCUUGAUGUGUAGGAUAGGUGGGAGGCUUUGAAGUGUGGACGCCAGUCUGCAUGGAGCCGACCUUGAAAUACCACCCUUUAAUGUUUGAUGUUCUAACGUUGACCCGUGAUCCGGGUUGCGGACAGUGUCUGGUGGGUAGUUUGACUGGGGCGGUCUCCUCCUAAAGAGUAACGGAGGAGCACGAAGGUUGGCUAAUCCUGGUCGGACAUCAGGAGGUUAGUGCAAUGGCAUAAGCCAGCUUGACUGCGAGCGUGACGGCGCGAGCAGGUGCGAAAGCAGGUCAUAGUGAUCCGGUGGUUCUGAAUGGAAGGGCCAUCGCUCAACGGAUAAAAGGUACUCCGGGGAUAACAGGCUGAUACCGCCCAAGAGUUCAUAUCGACGGCGGUGUUUGGCACCUCGAUGUCGGCUCAUCACAUCCUGGGGCUGAAGUAGGUCCCAAGGGUAUGGCUGUUCGCCAUUUAAAGUGGUACGCGAGCUGGGUUUAGAACGUCGUGAGACAGUUCGGUCCCUAUCUGCCGUGGGCGCUGGAGAACUGAGGGGGGCUGCUCCUAGUACGAGAGGACCGGAGUGGACGCAUCACUGGUGUUCGGGUUGUCAUGCCAAUGGCACUGCCCGGUAGCUAAAUGCGGAAGAGAUAAGUGCUGAAAGCAUCUAAGCACGAAACUUGCCCCGAGAUGAGUUCUCCCUGACUCCUUGAGAGUCCUGAAGGAACGUUGAAGACGACGACGUUGAUAGGCCGGGUGUGUAAGCGCAGCGAUGCGUUGAGCUAACCGGUACUAAUGAACCGUGAGGCUUAACCUUACAACGCCGAAG
rnacentral:rRNA from 1 species